GCAAAUGAGGCAAGGUUGUGCUCAGCAAAGUAUUAAUCACGACCUCUGGCGGUGAAAAGGAUAAGUGCAGCAUCUGUGACCACUCCCAUCUUGCACUUUGGUAAUAUUUCGCAAGGUGUCGUGUUUGAACCGUCGCUGUUUGGGACUCCAUCACGUGCGUUGUGAACCCUGACCAACACGAUCCGACGAUAGCUCAGUUGGUAGAGCGGAGGACUGUAGUGGUUAAUGCUGUCAUCCUUAGAUGGGCCCUUGCUGCAGAGAUGGAUUGCUGCGACCCAGUGAAUAACUGAGCAGGUCCUCCGGAGGGUGAUGCUUUAUGUACUGUACAUGGCAAGAGGUUUGAUAUUGAAGCUACACUGUAUCAUAAUACUAAUUAAUGUAUGUAAGCCUGAGAGGUUACAUGUCUGAACUUCACUCUCAAAAUUGUAAAUAAAACUAGUAGACACGUCAUGUUUAUCUUAUUAUAUAGAAGUCUCUUGGUGCAUGUAGGUCAAGGAGCAUGAACUGAUGAACGAGGGACUUUGAACCCCCAAUAAAGUUUCCUUUCAAAUCAGGCCCAAUUUACAUGUUGAAUUCGAAGAUAAAGUUUGGUAACUGCAUACCUACAUGAAAUAUUUGUAGAGCUUUUAUAAAUUCUACGUAACCAUUUAGUAUUGUGAUGUUCACCUUUAACUAACUUGCACAUACAAAAUGUAUCUGAAGUAUGAUAUCCCCAUCAGUUGCCAAUAACUGUUGAUGUGUAAUAUUUUUUUGAUUAUGCAAAUUACGCCCUUAUUUGCAUGUUUGGUAUCUGUAUAUGCUCUGACAUAAUACAACUUCUUAUUGUGCUAAAAACUAGAAUUACAGAUUUUCCUCAUAUGUCAUGCAAAUUAAGUCCUUAUUUGUACAACUUGCAUCUAAUGGUGUACACCCCUGUCUAAGCUAUCUGCAUGCAAAGACUAAAGGAAAUAUCUCCUUAAUUUUUGCAGUCAUCUUCUUUGAAACAUUUUAACCAAAAAGUCCCAGGGGCUUUUUAAAAUUAUCUGCUAUUAGGCCCAAACCGAUACCAAGUUCUUUCCUGACAUCAAAUGCUAUCUGCUACACAGACAUCCACACAAUUAUAGCAUGUCCAGGACAAAAGACACUUUUGUACAUUGACAAAAACAUUGUGAUGCAAGUUCCUCAUUAAUUAUCUAACAGUACGCAAUUGUUGCUUCAUUUUGCCUUAUUUUCAUCUGCUUGUGUAUGUCUCUGUUUAAUUUGCUAACCUGAAUAUUCCAAAUCAUGAAAACCUGUUUUUCCUUUUUAGUGCUUCUAUGGAGGCU